rnacentral:lncRNA from 1 species
AGCAUUUAGUAUUUUGUAUUUUGCAACUUUAUAAUAAACGUUUGAUAAUAAAGGAAUUUAUUUGAACGUAUUUCGCUCUGGCCCCUUUUAAUCUACGAUCGUUCAACGCGAUUUGAUUACGCUUUUAUUUGUUCACUUUCCCAUACAGAAGGAACAUAUUUUUUUAAAUAUUUGCCAUUAAUGAACCUCAUGUGCUUGGUGCCGUCUAAAUCUUCCAAAUGAUAGGCUCCAUUAGGCAACACAUUAUUUACUUUAUAUGGUCCUUCCCAAUUGGGCGACCACUUGCCAUACUUUGGAUCUUUGCUAUCCAAAGGGAGUAUUGUCUUUCAAACCAAUUUGCCCAGGCUGAACGACUUGGCUAUAACUUUUUUAUUAUAAAAUUU